GUGAGUAGUUCUAGAGUUUGAUCCUGGCUCAGGACGAACGCUGGCGGCACGCUUAACACAUGCAAGUCGAACGGAGAUAAUUACUUCGGUAUUUAUCUUAGUGGCGGACGGGUGAGUAACACGUGAGGAACCUGCCUCUGAGUGCGGAAUAGCUUCUGGAAACGGAUGGUAAUACCGCAUAAUAUUUAUGUUAUCGCAUGGUAAUAUAAUCAAAGAUUUAUUGCUCAGAGAUGGCCUCGCGUCUGAUUAGCUAGUUGGUGAGGUAACGGCCCACCAAGGCGACGAUCAGUAGCCGGACUGAGAGGUUGGACGGCCACAUUGGGACUGAGACACGGCCCAG
rnacentral:rRNA from 1 species